rnacentral:rRNA from 2 species
CAGUCGAGCGGACAGAUGGGAGCUUGCUCCCUGAUGUUAGCGGCGGACGGGUGAGUAACACGUGGGUAACCUGCCUGUAAGACUGGGAUAACUCCGGGAAACCGGGGCUAAUACCGGAUGGUUGUUUGAACCGCAUGGUUCAAACAUAAAAGGUGGCUUCGGCUACCACUUACAGAUGGACCCGCGGCGCAUUAGCUAGUUGGUGAGGUAACGGCUCACCAAGGCAACGAUGCGUAGCCGACCUGAGAGGGUGAUCGGCCACACUGGGACUGAGACACGGCCCAGACUCCUACGGGAGGCAGCAGUAGGGAAUCUUCCGCAAUGGACGAAAGUCUGACGGAGCAACGCCGCGUGAGUGAUGAAGGUUUUCGGAUCGUAAAGCUCUGUUGUUAGGGAAGAACAAGUACCGUUCGAAUAGGGCGGUACCUUGACGGUACCUAACCAGAAAGCCACGGCUAACUACGUGCCAGCAGCCGCGGUAAUACGUAGGUGGCAAGCGUUGUCCGGAAUUAUUGGGCGUAAAGGGCUCGCAGGCGGUUUCUUAAGUCUGAUGUGAAAGCCCCCGGCUCAACCGGGGAGGGUCAUUGGAAACUGGGGAACUUGAGUGCAGAAGAGGAGAGUGGAAUUCCACGUGUAGCGGUGAAAUGCGUAGAGAUGUGGAGGAACACCAGUGGCGAAGGCGACUCUCUGGUCUGUAACUGACGCUGAGGAGCGAAAGCGUGGGGAGCGAACAGGAUUAGAUACCCUGGUAGUCCACGCCGUAAACGAUGAGUGCUAAGUGUUAGGGGGUUUCCGCCCCUUAGUGCUGCAGCUAACGCAUUAAGCACUCCGCCUGGGGAGUACGGUCGCAAGACUGAAACUCAAAGGAAUUGACGGGGGCCCGCACAAGCGGUGGAGCAUGUG